rnacentral:tRNA from 1 species
UGCCGGGUCGUCUAAUGGUAGGACAGCGGUCUCUGGAACCGCGAAUCUAGGUUCGAGUCCUAGCCCGGCAG